ensembl:snoRNA
UGGUCCAAUGAUGGUGGCUGAUGGCGUAUGAGUCAUGAUUAAUGAGUAUGCGUCUGGAACUCUGAGGUCCAG